CCUACGGGGGGCAGCAGUGGGGGAUAUUGCACAAUGGGGGAAACCCUGAUGCAGCGACGCCGCGUGGGUGAAGAAGCGCCUCGGCGCGUAAAGCCCUGUCAGCAGGGAAGAAAAUGACGGUACCUGAAGAAGAAGCCCCGGCUAACUACGUGCCAGCAGCCGCGGUAAUACGUAGGGGGCAAGCGUUAUCCGGAUUUACUGGGUGUAAAGGGGGCGCAGGCGGCGAUGCAAGCCAGGAGUGAAAGCCCGGGGCCCAACCCCGGGACUGCUCUUGGAACUGCGUGGCUAGAGUGCAGGAGGGGCAGGCGGAAUUCCUGGUGUAGCGGUGAAAUGCGUAGAUAUCAGGAGGAACACCGGUGGCGAAGGCGGCCUGCUGGACUGCAACUGACGUUGAGGCCCGAAAGCGUGGGGAGCAAACAGGACUAGAUACCCCAGUAGUC
rnacentral:rRNA from 1 species